UUACAAAAUUUUAUGCUAGUAGUUGUGGUGAGUUGACCCUGGCUAGAUGCCAGCUGUCCACCAAAGCCGCUCUAUCACUGCCCCUCCUCAGCUGGACAG